UACGUAGGGUGCGAGCGUUAAUCGGAAUUACUGGGCGUAAAGCGUGCGCAGGCGGUAAGGUAAGUCUGAUGUGAAAGCCCCGGGCUCAACCUGGGAAUGGCAUUGGAAACUGGCUCGCUGGAGUGUGGCAGAGGGGGGUGGAAUUCCGCGUGUAGCAGUGAAAUGCGUAGAGAUGCGGAGGAACACCGAUGGCGAAGGCAGCCCCCUGGGCUAACACUGACGCUCAGGCACGGAAGCGUGGGGAGCGAACAGG
rnacentral:rRNA from 1 species